UCCCUCCCGGGCCGGGGCUGGGGCCGGGGCCAGGGAGACAUGGAGCCCCGGCGUCUCUCCCAGCUCCUGCUUCUCCUGUCUCUGUGGUGCUGCCCGGCCCUCUCCUGCCCCAGCCGGUGCCUCUGCUUUAAGAGCACCAUCCGCUGCAUGCACUUGAUGCUGGAUCGUGUCCCCCGGGUGCCGCAGCAGACCUCAGUCUUGGAUUUGCGAUUUAACAGAAUACAAGAAAUCCUAGCAGGCACCUUUAGGAAACUGAAGAAUUUGAACACUCUGCUUUUGAAUAACAAUAACAUCAGAAAGAUUUCAAGAAAUGCUUUUGAAGGGCUGGAAAAUCUACAAUACCUUUACUUAUACAAGAAUGAAAUCCACACAAUAGACCAACAAGCAUUUAAAGGACUGCUAUCACUCGAGCAGCUUUAUAUUCACUUCAAUCAAAUAGAAACAGUUGAGCCAGAAACCUUUAGAGGACUUCGAAAACUAGAGAGACUAUUUUUGCAUAACAACAAGUUGUCUAAGAUCCCACCUGGAAGUUUUUCUCAUCUGGAUUCGCUAAAGAGGCUGCGUUUGGACUCUAAUGCCUUAAUUUGUGACUGUGAGUUACUGUGGUUGGCUGAACUGAUAAAAGACUAUACCAGAAAAGGCAAUACCCAGGCUGCUGCUUCAUGUGAAUAUCCCAAGACACUUCAGGGAAGGCCUGUUGCCUCAUUACUGGUGGAAGAAUUCACCUGUGAGAGACCUCGUAUUACCUCAGAGCCUCGAGAUGCAGAUGUGACCCCAGGGAAUACAGUUUACUUUACCUGCAAAGCAGAAGGAAAUCCUAAACCCAAGAUAAUUUGGAUACAUAACAACCAGUCAUUGGAUAUGGAAGAUGACAGGCGGCUGAAUUUGCUCGAUGAUGGAACCCUCAUGAUCCAAAACACCAGAGAAUCAGACCAAGGUGUAUAUCAGUGCAUGGCCAAGAACGUGGCUGGAGAAGCCAAGACGCAUAGUGCUUUCCUCAGAUACUUCAGCAUUCCAACCAAGCCCAGUUUUAUAAUUCAGCCCCAGAACACAGAAGUCUUAGUUGGUACCAGCACCACUUUGGAAUGCAUGGCCAUAGGCCAUCCUCAACCUCGUAUCAGCUGGUCCAGAGAAAAUGGAGACUCAUUGGAUGAAUCCAGGUACAUAGUCACUUCUGGAGGAGGACUUUUUAUACAGAAUGUGACACUGCAAGACCACGGUCAGUUUAUCUGCCAUGCUAGUAAUAAUCAGGACUCUAUUCAAGCAUCAGCAAAGAUUAUUGUCCAAGCUCCUCCACAGUUUACAGUGAGCCCCAAGGACCAAGUUGUGUUAGAAGGACACACAGUAGAUUUUCACUGUGAAGCAGAAGGUAACCCACCACCUGUGAUUGCCUGGACCAAAUCAGGAAGCCAGCUUCCUCAUGAUGGACACCACACUGUGUUGUCAUCUGGAACCUUGCGUAUUGCUCGUGUGGCCCAACAUGAUGAAGGCCAGUAUGAGUGCCAAGCUGUCAGUGCUUUGGGGGUGAAGAGGGUGACUGUCCUGCUGAAUGUGAAACCUAAAGUACUGCCUGUGUUUACUAAGCUACCUCAAGAUACAAGUGUAGAGGUAGGAAGGAAUGUAGAGAUUCCUUGUAGUGCACAUGGAGAACCUCAGCCUAUACUCACUUGGCGGAAGAGUGGUAUACACAUCACAGCAAGUGGGAAAUUCCACGUGAACCCAGAGGGCACUCUUACUAUCAGAGAUGUAGGACAAGCAGACCAGGGGAGAUAUGAAUGUGUUGCAAGGAACCCUUUUGGCCUCACAACAGCCAGCAUGUUACUGACGGUUACUAUACCGCGAGGUAGACAAGCUGGCGAUAACUUUGUUGAAUCAUCCAUUCUCGAUGCCAUCCACCAAGUUGACAGUGCAAUUAACUCCACAAGAAGAAAUUUGUUUUCACAGCAUCCCCAAACCCCCACUGACCUGCUGGCUCAGUUCCGCUACCCACGGGAUCCUUUCACUAUAGAGACUGCAAGAGCAGGGGAGAUAUUUGAGCAAACUCUUCAGUUGAUUCAGGAACAUGUUAAACAGGGUCUCAGUGUUGAUUUUGGUGGAAUAGAAUUUCGCUACAAUGAUCUGGUUUCCCCACACUACCUCAGUCUGAUUGCCAAUCUCUCUGGAUGUACAGCUCACAGACGCUUCCCGGACUGCUCUAACAUCUGUUUCCAUCAAAAAUACAGAAGCUACGAUGGAACAUGUAACAAUCUACAGUACCCAAUGUGGGGAGCCUCUCUGACUGCUUUUGAACGGAUCCUUAAACCUGUGUAUGAAAAUGGCUUUAACAUACCCAGGGGUUUCAAUCAUGACACUUUGUAUAAUGGUUAUCCCCUUCCACUACCACGGCUUAUCUCAACAGAAAUGGUUGGUACAGAGACUGUAACUCCUGAUGACAGAUACACUCAUAUGCUCAUGCAGUGGGGUCAAUUUUUAGACCAUGACUUGGAUCAGACGGUGCCUGCCCUGAGUAUGUCUCGUUUUUCUGAUGGGCAGUCUUGUAGCUCAGUGUGUACUAAUGAUCCACCUUGCUUCCCUGUCAUAAUUCCUCAGAAUGAUCCUCGAGUGACAAAUUCGAAAUGCAUGUUCUUUGUUCGCUCAAGCCCAGUUUGUGGUAGUGGAAUGACCUCUUUAAUUAUGAAUUCAGUCUAUGCAAGAGAGCAGAUUAAUCAUCUGACAUCUUACAUUGAUGCCUCUAAUGUCUAUGCAAGUUCUGAGAGGGAGUCAGAAGAGCUAAGGGAUAAAACAAAUCACCAUGGCCUCCUCAAAGAAGGCCUACUGGUCCCAUCUUCUAGAAAGCACUUAUUACCAUUUGCCACAGGUCCACCAACUGAAUGCACAAAAGAUGAAAAUGAAAGCUCUGUACCAUGCUUCCUUGCGGGAGACCACAGAGCCAAUGAGCAGCUGGGUCUAACAGCUAUGCACACCUUGUGGUUCCGUGAACAUAAUCGCAUAGCGAGGGAACUCUUGAAAAUGAACCCACAUUGGGAUGGAGAUACAGUUUAUAAUGAAGCCAGAAAGAUUGUUGGUGCAGAGAUGCAAUAUAUUACAUAUAGUCACUGGCUACCGAAGAUCCUUGGCAAUCAUGGCAUGAACAUGAUGGGCGAAUACAGAGGUUAUAACCCUAAUGUGAAUGCAGGGAUUAUUAAUGCUUUUGCAACUGCUGCUUUUAGAUUUGGCCACACAUUGAUCAAUCCUGUUCUUUAUCGUUUGAACGAGAGCUUUGGAGAAAUUCCACAAGGCCACCUUCUUCUACACAAGGCUUUCUUUUCUCCAUUCCGAAUAAUCCAGGAAGGGGGUAUUGAUCCACUCCUUCGUGGCCUUUUUGGAGUUGCUGGUAAAAUGCGAGUACCUACUCAGCUUCUGAAUUUGGAGUUGACUGAGAGGCUUUUCUCCAUGGCACAUUCAGUGGCUCUGGAUCUGGCAGCUAUGAAUAUCCAGAGAGGGCGUGACCAUGGGAUUCCUCCAUAUGUUGACUAUAGGGUUUUCUGUAACUUAACUUCAAUUGAGAAGUUUGAGGAUCUCCAAAAUGAAAUUAAAGAUGCAAAAGUUAGAGAAAAACUGAAAAAGCUGUAUGGCACACCCCUGAACAUUGACUUGUGGCCGGCUCUUAUGGUGGAAGAUUUGAUUCCUGGUACAAGAGUGGGACCAACUCUCAUGUGUCUUCUUGUUACACAGUUUCAAAGGCUCAGGGAUGGAGAUAGGUUCUGGUAUGAAAAUCCUGGAGUGUUCACGACAGCACAGCUCACACAACUGAAGCAGACUUCUUUGGCACGGGUACUCUGUGACAAUGGUGACAACAUCCAGCAGGUCCCGCCUGAUGUCUUCUUAAAGGCAGACUAUCCUCAAGGCUAUGUAAGCUGUAGCGACAUACCAAAAGUGGAUCUGAGAAUGUGGCAGGACUGCUGCGAAGACUGUAGGACACGGGGACAAUUCAGGACUCUUUCGCACCAGUUUCGGCGCAAACGAUCUGCUAAAUACAUUUAUUCCAAACAGAAGAACAAAGCAGAUGCCCUGAGCGAUACUAAUAGCAGAUACCAGGAACUGCAUAGAAAUGCAACCAGUGCAAGACAUCUAGAUGACACAAUAUCCGGUGGAUUUAGUCAGGAUUUCAGUGAUUUUGUUGCAGAAAUUGAUAAGGCCAUCACAGCUCUAAAAGAGCAGAUAAACAAGCUGGAGGCUCGCCUGAGGCAGGAAGGUUGCAUAGAUGAUAAUGGGAUUCAGCGGAAGGAAAAUGAGUGGUGGAUGAAGGAAGACUGCAUUAGUUGUAGCUGUAAGAAUGGCCAGAUAAUCUGCACUGUAGAGACAUGUCCCUUAGUGGAGUGUUCAGCCCCUGCAAAGCUGGAAGGAAAAUGUUGUCCAGUCUGCAGAGAAAGUGAAAAUGCUAUAGAAUCACCAGCUGAACUUUAAUCAUUAUUCCUCUGAUAAUGAGCAUCCGUUGGACCUGCCUACUGAGAAGAUAUAACUUUUAAAUUCAAAGAAUCUUCCAAACAGUUACAAGUACUGCUGACUAUACCUGCACUAAAACAUUUGAUGUGAAAACACACACUGACUAAACAAUUAAGUCACUCUAGGGUUUUCAGGAUGCUGGAAACAUUAUCUUUCAACAUGGCUGGGUAUUGUGAGCAAGGCCACGAAAGAAUAUAGUGAAAGCCCUUUACAGUUUUACAUGUCCGGUAUUCGUAUAUUAGAAGUUGUUACAAGUUAGAAUCAGUAACUCAGCUUUAAAAAUCAUAUAUUAUUCUUGACCCCCUCUGCCAAAAGGCAGGGAGAAAAGGGAUCAAAAGUAUGAUAUAGCUUUGAACCAUGGUAUUUAACCAUUGACUGAAAUACUUUUUUGAAAUUCAAGUACGUUUUAGGAGCAAUAUCUUUUUUUUUUAAUGCACUUUUCCAAGGAAAAGAAUUCUAGGAAAGAAGUGCACGUGACCUGCUGGUUUGUUUUGUUUUGUUUGUUUCUGGGGUAGGGAUUUAAGAAAGGAGUUACACAAUGAGAAACAGUUUGGUUUCGUAUUAUGAGACUUUCUUCUGAUUCCACAGUAGCCUUAUGGAGCUUGAGCUUUAUUAGGAUCAAAAUCAAAGAGCAGUGUGGCACAAUUCUUUAAGGUCACAUGGUGCUGAGUUUGCGAUCUGAAAUUUGAUGAAAUGCACCUCAGGGAGCUUGCCAUUUAUGAACAUGUAUCCCAAGCCAGAUAAUGCGUGGAUAAGUGUAACAUAAUUCAUAGAUGGUUUUACAUAUUCUUUUCAAAGUGACCUAUUACCCCAUGUUCGGCAUGGAACUCCCACUGAUGUAAGUGGUUGAAAGAGAGAAUGAGAGAGAGGGUGUAAACAGACAUCGCCCUUGUUGCAAGAAAACAGAUGCCCCAUCCCCUUGUUGCACUCCAAGUGCCCCAAAAUGUUGCUGUGACUAAUGGUAUUCAGUUUGUAAUGCCUUAAAUGGGAGGAUGUCUGUUUUCUUAUUGUGCGCCUGUAAUAGAAAGGGCUUUGCUUAAUGCUCAUAGCAAGAGUCUUGUAUGCUGACUCCAUAGUAGGCCUUUGAAACAGCGUGUAGCUUUUUUGCUCUGUGAGCGUGACCGAACCAUGAACCUAGAUAGUAGAAUGUUGUAAUAAAGCGGAAUGUGGUAAACACCAGGUGUGUUGGAUCACAACUCAUCCCCAGAUUCUUAGCUUGAGAUAACCGAAUCCCUAGUUUGAGAUAACGUUAUUUAGUCCAGACUAUAUAAGAUGUACAUUCUUAAGUUACAGGGAGUUCCUCCCACUCUGGCAAGAAAUCUUGCGCAGAGCCUGGUGCAGGCUAUCGUAUCCCUGGGAUCGGGACACUCCGGGGCCAGGGGAGCUAUGCGGGGUGGCGACUGCUGCCUAGAGCUGAUGUGAAGUGAUCAUCCUCUCCGCUCUGUCUUAUUGCCUGCCUCUGCGAGUAUCCUUGAAUAAGCUUUGCAAGGGUGAGAACAACCAUGAGUAUGUCCUUUGUUCAAGUGCAGGGAAUCUCCUGAACCCACUAGUUCAUUCUAAGACAAUAUUGCUACGUGCUGUUUCAAAGGCCUACUAUGGAGUCAGCAUACAAGACUUGCUAUGAGCAUUAAGCAAAGCCCUUACUAUUACAGCGCCAUAGGAAUUCUCCUGCAGAGGAUUCCCACAGGACCCAUAUCUUGUUGCCAUGUCCUGAGUUGGGAUGAGGCACCUUGAGCCAUUGUCUUGCAGGAUGGGACCCCUUAAUGCCCAGGACCAGAAGGGGCCUGACCCUGUAGGACAACAGUCCCUGUGACAUCUGUAGACACUAGUAAAGUGGAUUGGCUCUGUUGAGGCAUAUCCAGCAUAGCUUAUUCCACUCUUAAGUUGUCUGUUUAUAUCCACAAAAGAUGAACUCAACUAUUCAUCAUGUUCCCAUGCAGAUAGUCAGGAGUUUAGUAAGUUUAUAAAUAGGAUUACAUGAUUACAUUAGUUGCCUGUGGUAACAGGGAGCUAGAUCAAGGAUGCUCAGCCUCUGGCCCACAGGCCAGAUCCAGCCCAUGAUGCUGUGUCUUCUGGAUCCCAGGGCUCCCCAAGGGUCUAGAAAUUUGGCAGCAGGAGAGCAGUGGCUUCAUUCCCCCAUUGCCAAAUUUCCAGACCCAGGAGGAGCCCCAGUCCCUGUACACUGGAUUUGGUGUCUGAUUCCAGUGCACAGGGCCAGGCGGGGGUGGCACCAGGCCUCAGGGCCAAAUUCCAGCUUGAGGAGGGUGGAAGGGGGACUCAGAACCCAAUCCUGAUGCACAUGGCAGCUGGGCUGUGUACCAUCUAUCUGAUCCAUGGCACCAAAAGGUUGAGUGGCACUGAAUUAAAUUAUAUGACCUAAUAGGUCUCUUCCAGUCCUAUUCUUUUGCUCCUAUUAAAAAACAUGGUAACUUAAUUUUAAAAAUCUAUUGCAUAAAAAAUGAGAGGUCAACUUUUCAAAUGUGUGCCCUGAGAUGUGCCUCAAAAAUGCAUGUGCGCCAAAUGUGAAUUUUCAUGUAAAUUAGCUGGUGUGGAUGCAACAGUGGGAAGUAGAUGUACAUAUUAACCAGCGUGGCUACAGUUUUACUGGCACUGCUUAGUGCCUGAAUUUAUUUUGGAAAUUUUGUCUUGACGAGUUCAAAAUUCCAAGAGAGAGCUGUCUGUACUGAAUUUUGCCCUUUAAAAUUAAUGAACAUCUGUGCUUCCCUUCUACUUUCAUUCUGUUAUGAUUGAUUUUUUUGUUUACUAACAAGAGGCCAUCCCAUAAUGGUGUGCACAGAUUUUCUCACGCAGCUUUGAUUAUCAUUAAUGUCUAUUACAUGUAUAAAUGUCCAGGCCUUUAAGCUAGAUUCACAAAAUACAUUUAUAGAUGAUGAACUGAGAGAAUCCAAAAAUGAAUAAGAUUUCCAAAAAUUCUGAAAUGGGUGUUUCUUUUUACAUUCAUACACAGGGUGACAAUAUCAACAGUGAAAUCAAAAUACCAAGAAAAAUGUCUAAUGAAGAAUUUACUUUAUUCUGACUAAUUCAUAACUUUCUGUUGAAAACAAUGUAUAGAAUAUAUUUCUUACUCCAUGUCAUGCACAGAUGUACGGUGCUUACUGAUGUUGUCCCAGACCAGCAAUGAUACCUUCACAUGAGACAUGCUUCUUACUGUAUUUCUGAUUUACCAAGAGCCAGAGAGUACUAUAAGCUUAAAAAGGAAGCCUGUUCUUCUGAAGUUCCCAGGAGCUGUCAGAAAAGGAUUUUACAUGCAGCCGUUGUCUUCACGCUGAAAUGCCAUUUACCUGUAAGUGCUUCCCCCCCUGCAAUUAACGCUAUGAAAAUAGCUUAAUUCUGGAGGUACUGACUAGAGUCACACUGCACACAUUGUUGUAUUUUUAUGAGACAAGUAUAAUUACUCUACAGCAAACUACCAUAAUUACCAUUAGGUGCAGUACAUAGUAUUUGUACUUACAGUAAAUAGAAAUAAAUAACAGGGUACAGUGUGGUAGAGAAUAUUUUAUUUCUAGUAGCUAAUUUAUUAUUCAUAAAUGAUACUUGCACAAUAUCUCUUGGGGUUUAUUUGCAUAUUUACAUUAAAAGGCAAUUUUGAAAAUCCUGCUCUGCUUCCCUAUGAGCUGUGGAAGCAAAUAUCCAAAAGACACAAGGCAGAGAGAAAGGGGUCCAGUUUGCAAGGAACAUCACAUAAUAAUUCCCAGUAAUUUGGAUAGUUCAGAUGAUGGUGUGAAGAAACAGGAAAGAAAGAAACUUGAUUAAGAAGAAGGUCAUCAAGUUUCCUCAUUGUUGGGAAGAUUGUGAGUAUAAAAUGGUAUAUAUAGGUCCAGGCUGCAAAAUAUAGAUCUAAAUUCUGGCCCUCAACUGGGUUUCAAAUACCCCCAAAUUCUGUGCUCUUAUAUUCUUAAGUUUGAUCUGUUUCUACAAAAAAAACCCCCCAAAUGUUACAAUUUAUGUCUUCUAUCCUUUUUUUUUAAGCUGAUUAUGCAUGGUCUCAGCUUUUGUGUUACAUGUUGAUGCUUAAUAUUAACAGCCUUCAGUUAAUAUGUGUUGAUUUCCAUUUUGGUUUGUUAUUUGUCUGCUGGUUUAUUCUUAGCCCAAUGCAUGCAUUUAUAGCUCUGACAUCUAUGGCACUUGACCUCAUUUUUCUUAAAAGAACAUUCAAAUCAGUACAAGAGAAAGUAUUUGCAAUACUAUCAGGUUACAUUUGAACCAGGCCCUCUCCACAACCACGGGCUUUGUAGCUGACAACCCCCUGAUCAUCUUUGGGCUUUAAAUGAUGCUUCUGCCUCCCUGCUGUGUAAAGGAGACAGGCAGCAUUUGAAGUCUGAGGGCUGGAAAUCGGGCUUGGGAAACUGUCACUGUUCACUCCUCAGACUGAAGUCUCCACUGUGGCAAAGAGGAAGGGGGCAUUGCCCCUCUGCUUCAGACCCCUUGGGAUCAAUCUAGGAGGGCGGGGGAGUAGGGGUUAUGCUCCGUCCCCAUACCAGGGAUUUGUGGAGCUUUGGGUACCAGCUUUGAAGUGCCUCGCAGGGGGGAAGCCCUGUCUUUAGCCUCAAAAGCCACUGGCUUUUGAAGUGCCUUGUUUUUUCAGAAGCCUACACUUUAUCAGUAUACAAUUCCUUUCUAUAUUUAAAAAUAUUUAAUUAGCAUACAUACUGUUUACUAGGGCUGUGCGAAGCUUUGGGUGCUGAUUCGAUUCGGAGGAGAUUUGGCCCGAUUUGGCAGCCAAAUCCGAAUCAAAUCAGGAGACAAAUAAAAACAUCUAAAUUGAUUCAGAAAAAAUUCAGAGAGCUUCAGGGAUUUGGGCAGUCCCCACUUGCUAUCCCAGGGAGCUGGACCUGGACACUGUGCUGGUAAAUAGGGGAUGGGAGCGGGGCUGGAGGAGGAGGGAGAGGACCAUGGGGGGACCCCCACCAGGCCCCAUCCCCUGCCUGCUCCCCCAGCCCCCCUGAGCUACCCCUGACCCAUUCCCCCUCUCCUAGACCCCCAUGGCUGCCCUGCCCCACCCCAGCUCCCAGUUUUUUUAACUAAAUAAAAAAAGCCCCCACUCACUGGCUGCUGCCCCCUAGUGCCCCGUGCUGCAUGGGGGGGCGGAGGGGGGCUCUGCCAUGAGCACCCAUCCCCUGCCCGCUCUCCCAGACCUGUUGAUUGCUGUCCCACCCAGCUCUUAAAAAAAAAAAAAAGGAGGAAAAAAAGCCCUGCGCUCACCUGAUGCUGCAGUGACCAUCACGGCAUCUGGGGGCAUGUAGCAGAGCCCCCCCAUGCAGCUCAGGGCAGUGGGUGGGGGGCAGCAGGGAUUGGGAGGAGGAGCCGGUGAGUGCAGGGCUUUUACAUCUUUUUUUCUUUUUUAAAGAGCCGUGAACUGGGAGAAUGGGCAGGGGAUGGGGGCUCAUGGCAAAUGUCUAAAAUUGAAUAGAGAAUUUUAACUUUGCUACAGAAUUCUAUAGGAUGAUUCAAAUCCAUACAAAAAGUUACCACUUUCUAUUCCAUUUUCUUAGUUUUUAAUCUCUCUAAAAUCUUAUUACAUUUAUUUAAAAGCUGCCAAUGGUUUAAUCCCUGUAAGAUUUUACUGGGGUUUUUUUUUUUUUUUCACAAAGAAAUGGCAUGAGCACCAAAGUUCAUCAACACACAUUUCCAGAGUUCAGGAAAAAAUAAUGGGCACAUAGCUUAGGGGAGUGAAUUCAAACAUUUUAUGUUUGAAAAUCUGCCACAGAGUUUAGAUUCUUCUCCCAAGAUGUUGAUGUCAUGAGUUCUAAAAUUGUCAAAGUUGAAAUUUCCAAAAUUUCGAAUAAGUUACUAUUUUUUUUUUCUGAGCCACCCUGCCCAUCUAAUUAAAUGAAAGGAUUUGUUUACAGAUUCCUAUGGGUAGAUUCAAAGACUUGUCAGAUCAGAAAGACUAGAAUGGAAGAUUCCAUACAGCUCUCUGUACACUUAAGUGCAAAACUUGACCUUGCUUUUAACAAGAGUAGAAACAGAGAAUAAAAUGUUUGCAUCAAGCUCAAAAACAGUUAGGGUGAUGCAUAGUAAAUAGUGCCUGGAACAAUAAUCCCAGUUUUGAUGUUCGUUGAGUGUGUGUGACUUCCAGCCAGCUCUGAUCUGUAUGUUUUAGAGGAUCACAACAUGUGAACCUGGUGCUGUCCUAUUAAGUUUGGUGGAUCCUUGAAAAUGGCUUCUACCACUGUGCUUCAGGCAAAUGUGGUCAAUGCUUAUUCUGCUAUGUGUUCAAUCCCAUUAGCAAUGCUUCUUACAUUCUGACAUGCUUUGUCAGUUUUGCUGCAAAAUAUAAAAUUUAUCUUCCAGGAACCAGAAAGGAAAUUGGGCUAUUUCAAAUUUCAAGAAAUAGCUCUACCCAAGGGGCAAUGUAAUCAUUAGGAUUAAGAAUGGAAUAGCAGUGGUAAUAGAAUAUCGCAUCUUGACACAGAAUAUCAAAUACAAUACUGCUUUUGACAGCUUAUUUCUUUAUCACUUUACCAUUUAUGCAUACUACUAAAGGACAAGUGUCAGCUAUUUUACUAAUCAGAGCUGCCUUUCAGCCACGUAUCUAAAACGCUGGCUCAAAUCCAUCCCAGGAAUGAAAACACUCAAAAGCAGAUUUGAUUGCUGUUUUGUGUCUCUGUGGAGUGAGUUGGCGUCUCUGUUCCCAUUUGCUUCCUAAUGACUGGCAUCCAAUAAUAAUAAAUGCCAGCACAAUGAUACUUUGUAAUAACUGUUGAUGACAAUCACAGCUAGAAGACAAAGAAGGACUAAGACUUGAACUGCCUUCUUAACCAAUGCCAACAAUAGAGUGAAGAUUGAGGAUUAUUGUACAUUGCCUGAUCAUCACUCAGCAAUUCUUUUCCCAUGUUGGCAAAGCACUACAUCAGGAAUCUUAACUUUCAAAGUUCCCAUUGACUUUAAUGGUGCAAUAUCAUCUCAUAAAGUCACAUUGUUCCAAAUUAAAAAUCUGAUUUUCACAAUGUUAAUUUAUACCACCUGAAGUUAAUCAUAGAAUCAUAGAAAAUUAAAGUUGGAAGGGACAUUAGGAGGUCAUCUAGUCCAAAUCCUGCUCAAAGCAGGACCAUCACCAAGUAGAUCAUCCCAGCAAAGGCUUUGUCUAGCUGGGUCUUACAAACCUCUAAGAUAGAGAUUCCAUAACCUCUCGGGGUAACCCGUUCCAGUGCUUG